rnacentral:rRNA from 1 species
AUUGAACGCUGGCGGCAUGCUUUACACAUGCAAGUCGGACGGCAGCGGGGUAGUGCUUGCACUACUGCCGGCGAGUGGCGAACGGGCGAGUAAUAUAUUGGAACGUACCGAGUAAUGGGGGAUAACCAAUCGAAAGAUUGGCUAAUACCGCAUACGCUCUGAGGAGGAAAGCAGGGGACCUUCGGGCCUUGCGUUAUUCGAGCGGCCAAUAUCUGAUUAGCUAGUUGGUGGGGUAAGGGCCUACCAAGGCGACGAUCAGUAGCGGGUCUGAGAGGAUGAUCCGCCACACUGGGACUGAGACACGGCCCAGACUCCUACGGGAGGCAGCAGUGGGGAAUUUUGGACAAAGGGCGCAAGCCUGAUCCAGCCAUGCCGCGUGUCUGAAGAAGGCCUUCGGGUUGUAAAGGACUUUUGUUAGGGAAGAAAAAGGAGCGGUUAAUACCCGUUUCUGCUGACGGUACCUAAAGAAUAAGCACCGGCUAACUACGUG